rnacentral:rRNA from 1 species
CCUACGGGAGGCAGCAGUGAGGAAUAUUGGUCAAUGGACGCGAGUCUGAACCAGCCAAGUAGCGUGAAGGAUGACUGCCCUCUGGGUUGUAAACUUCUUUUAUAUGGGAAUAAAAUGUUCCACGUGUGGGAUUUUGUAUGUACCAUAUGAAUAAGGAUCGGCUAACUCCGUGCCAGCAGCCGCGGUAAUUAGGAGGAUCCGAGCGUUAUCCGGAUUUAUUGGGUUUAAAGGGAGCGUAGGUGGAUUGUUAAGUCAGUUGUGAAAGUUUGCGGCUCAACCGUAAAAUUGCAGUUGAAACUGGCAGUCUUGAGUACAGGAGAGGUGAGCGGAAUUCGUGGUGUAGCGGUGAAAUGCUUAGAUAUCACGAAGAACUCCGAUUGCGAAGGCAGUUCACUGGACUGCAACUGACACUGAGGCUCGAAAGUGUGGGUAUCAAACAGGAUUAGAUACCCCUGUAGUC